UUCGUUUCAGAGUGUUUCUGA
rnacentral:siRNA from 1 species